CAGUGGAGGCAGGUUCCACACGGACAAUUGUCGAUUGGUCGGUUAGCUGACGAGCGGUUCAACCGGGCGACUGGUGGGACCGGAGCCUCGUGACGAAGGCCGCGACAUGGCGGCUGAGAUCCCGUGGGCCGUAACGCGA
rfam:Bradyrhizobium sp. BTAi1, complete genome.